GUAACGCUGGCGGCAUGCUUAACCCAUGCGAUUUUAUCGAACGAGUUUAAGUUUAUUCCACUUAAUCAUGUAGCGGACGGGUGAGUAACGCGUAAGAACCUACCUUUAGGGUAAGGAAUAACUAUUGGAAACGAUAGAUAAUACCUUAUAAGCUUAUAGUAAAAGAUAAAAUCGCCUAAGGAUGGGCUUGCGUCUGAUUAGCUUGUUGGUGAUUUAAAAGAUUCACCAAGGCAACGAUCAGUAGUUGGUCUAAGAGGAUGAUCAACCACACUGGGACUGAGACACGGCCCAGACCUCUACGGAGGGCAGCAGUGAGGAAUUUUCCGCAAUGGGCGAAAGCCUGACGGAGCAAUGCCGCGUGGAGGAUGAAAGCUUGUGAGUCGUAAACUCCUUUUCUUAGUGAAGAAAUACAGACGGUAUCUAAGGAAUAAGCAUCGGCUAACUCCGUGCCACGACAGACGCGGUAAUACGGAGGAUGCAAGCGUUAUUCGGAAUUAUUGGGCGUAAAGCGUCUGUAAGGUGGUUUUAAAAGUCUACUGUUAAUAUUAAGCGCUUAACCUUAAAAAGCGGUAUGAAACUAAAAACUUGAGUUAGUUAAGCAGGUACGAGGGAAUCUCGGUGUACUGGUGACACUGCGUAGAAGAUCGAA
rnacentral:rRNA from 1 species